rnacentral:pre_miRNA from 15 species
CCGGGAUGUGAAACCAUGGCUGGCCCCAUCUGGAAGACUAGUGAUUUUGUUGUUGUCUCGCUACUGAUCAACAACAAGUCCCAGUCUGCCACACGGGGCUGGCCACCACAGCGGCAGGGGGUG